AACGUAGGAGACAAACGUUAUCCGGAGUUACUGGGCGUAAAGGGCGUGCAGGUGGUCUGUUAAGUCUGGCGUGAAAGCUCCUGGCUAAACCGGGAGAGGUCGUUGGAUACUGGCGGACUAGAGGACGGUAGAGGCGUGUGGAAUUCCGGGUGUAGUGGUGAAAUGCGUAGAGAUCCGGAGGAACACCAGUGGCGAAGGCGACACGCUGGGCCGUACUGUGACACUGAUACGCGACAGCAUGGGGAGCGAACGGG
rnacentral:rRNA from 1 species